GCCUGCCCAGUGACAUAGUUUAACGGCCGCGGUACCCUAACCGUGCGAAGGUAGCAUAAUCACUUGUUCCUUAAAUAGGGACUAGUAUCAACGGCAUUACGAGGGCUGUACUGUCUCCUUUCUCCAAUCAGUGAAACUGAUCUCCCCGUGAAGAAGCGGGGAUUUUAAUAUAAGACGAGAAGACCCCAUGGAGCUUUAAGCAACGAAUUUACCACAUACCAACAACUCAACUAAUCCUAAAACCUAAAUUCUAGCUUUUGGUUGGGGGGACCGCGGAGUAUAACCCAACCUCCGCAACUAAUGGGCUCUGCCCUUAUCCACGAGCUACAACUCUAAGAAUCAUAAAAUUGAUGUCUUUGACCCGAAAACCUCGAUCAAUGAACCAAGUUACCCUGGGGAUAACAGCGCAAUCUACUUUAAGAGCCCCUAUCGACAAGUAGGUUUACGACCUCGAUGUUGGAUCAGGGUAUCCUAGUGGUGCAGCCGCUACUAAUGGUUCGUUUGUUCAACGAUUAAAACCCUACAUGAUCUGAGUUC
rnacentral:rRNA from 1 species